rnacentral:rRNA from 1 species
AAAUUGAAGAGUUUGAUCAUGGCUCAGAUUGAACGCUGGCGGCAGGCCUAACACAUGCAAGUCGAGCGGUAGCACAGAGAGCUUGCUCUCGGGUGACGAGCGGCGGACGGGUGAGUAAUGUCUGGGAAACUGCCUGAUGGAGGGGGAUAACUACUGGAAACGGUAGCUAAUACCGCAUAACGUCGCAAGACCAAAGUGGGGGACCUUCGGGCCUCAUGCCAUCAGAUGUGCCCAGAUGGGAUUAGCUAGUAGGUGGGGUAACGGCUCACCUAGGCGACGAUCCCUAGCUGGUCUGAGAGGAUGACCAGCCACACUGGAACUGAGACACGGUCCAGACUCCUACGGGAGGCAGCAGUGGGGAAUAUUGCACAAUGGGCGCAAGCCUGAUGCAGCCAUGCCGCGUGUGUGAAGAAGGCCUUCGGGUUGUAAAGCACUUUCAGCGGGGAGGAAGGCGUNAGGUUAAUAACCUCANCGAUUGACGUUACCCGCAGAAGAAGCACCGGCUAACUCCGUGCCAGCAGCCGCGGUAAUACGGAGGGUGCAAGCGUUAAUCGGAAUUACUGGGCGUAAAGCGCACGCAGGCGGUCUGUCAAGUCGGAUGUGAAAUCCCCGGGCUCAACCUGGGAACUGCAUUCGAAACUGGCAGGCUAGAGUCUUGUAGAGGGGGGUAGAAUUCCAGGUGUAGCGGUGAAAUGCGUAGAGAUCUGGAGGAAUACCGGUGGCGAAGGCGGCCCCCUGGACAAAGACUGACGCUCAGGUGCGAAAGCGUGGGGAGCAAACAGGAUUAGAUACCCUGGUAGUCCACGCCGUAAACGAUGUCGAUUUGGAGGUUGUGCCCUUGAGGCGUGGCUUCCGGAGCUAACGCGUUAAAUCGACCGCCUGGGGAGUACGGCCGCAAGGUUAAAACUCAAAUGAAUUGACGGGGGCCCGCACAAGCGGUGGAGCAUGUGGUUUAAUUCGAUGCAACGCGAAGAACCUUACCUGGUCUUGACAUCCACAGAACUUUCCAGAGAUGGAUUGGUGCCUUCGGGAACUGUGAGACAGGUGCUGCAUGGCUGUCGUCAGCUCGUGUUGUGAAAUGUUGGGUUAAGUCCCGCAACGAGCGCAACCCUUAUCCUUUGUUGCCAGCGGUNCGGCCGGGAACUCAAAGGAGACUGCCAGUGAUAAACUGGAGGAAGGUGGGGAUGACGUCAAGUCAUCAUGGCCCUUACGACCAGGGCUACACACGUGCUACAAUGGCAUAUACAAAGAGAAGCGACCUCGCGAGAGCAAGCGGACCUCAUAAAGUAUGUCGUAGUCCGGAUUGGAGUCUGCAACUCGACUCCAUGAAGUCGGAAUCGCUAGUAAUCGUAGAUCAGAAUGCUACGGUGAAUACGUUCCCGGGCCUUGUACACACCGCCCGUCACACCAUGGGAGUGGGUUGCAAAAGAAGUAGGUAGCUUAACCUUCGGGAGGGCGCUUACCACUUUGUGAUUCAUGACUGGGGUGAAGUCGUAACAAGGUAACCGUAGGGGAACCUGCGGUUGGAUCACCUCCUUA